rnacentral:rRNA from 1 species
GACGAACGCUGGCGGCGUGCUUAACACAUGCAAGUCGAACGGAAAGGCCCUGCUUUUGUGGGGUGCUCGAGUGGCGAACGGGUGAGUAACACGUGAGUAACCUGCCCUUGACUUUGGGAUAACUUCAGGAAACUGGGGCUAAUACCGGAUAGGAGCUCCUGCUGCAUGGUGGGGGUUGGAAAGUUUCGGCGGUUGGGGAUGGACUCGCGGCUUAUCAGCUUGUUGGUGGGGUAGUGGCUUACCAAGGCUUUGACGGGUAGCCGGCCUGAGAGGGUGACCGGCCACAUUGGGACUGAGAUACGGCCCAGACUCCUACGGGAGGCAGCAGUGGGGAAUAUUGCGCAAUGGGCGGAAGCCUGAUGCAGCAACGCCGCGUGCGGGAUGACGGCCUUCGGGUUGUAAACCGCUUACGCCUGUGACGAAGCGUGAGUGACGGUAAUGGGUAAAGAAGCACCGGCUAACUACGUG